GCACCCUUAGCUCAGUUGGAUAGAGCAACAGCCUUCUAAGCUGUGGGUCGUGAGUUCGAAUCUCGCAGGGUGCACCA
rnacentral:tRNA from 1 species